GUCUACAGUCAUACCAUCCUGAAUGUGCCCAAUCUCAUCUGAUCUCGGAAACUAAGCAGAGUCGGGUCUGGUGAGUACUUAGGAGAAAUUGUGAAUAAACUUCACAAUUGGAGAAC
rnacentral:rRNA from 1 species